GACAGAGGGGGCAAGCGUUGCUCGGAAUUACUGGGCGUAAAGGGCGCGUAGGCGGGAUGGCAAGUCGGUCGUGAAAUCCCUCGGCUCAACUGAGGAGCGUCGAUCGAAACUGCCGUUCUUGAGGGUUGCAGAGGAGACUGGAAUUCCCGGUGUAGCGGUGAAAUGUGUAGAGAUCGGGAGGAACACCGGUGGCGAAGGCAGCCUUCUGGGCCAACACUGACGCUCAUGCACGAAAGCGUGGGGAGCAAACAGG
rnacentral:rRNA from 1 species